rnacentral:lncRNA from 1 species
CCUGCGCCACUUGGUGAGUAUUAGCGAUGGUGAUGAAGCUAUUGCCGCACACUGUUCCCUUCUCUUUCAAUUUUUAAUAUUUAAAUUUAAAUUUAUCAAAUUUAUUUAAAUUUAUAAUAUUUGAAUUUAAUUUAUACAUGAAAAGCACAUUCUCAGUCAUUGCAAGAUCCGAAGGAACGUCAUUGUCAUAUAAAACCUCACAUCCGGUGGUGCUCUCGAGAGUUGGAACCACUCUAGAGAGCUCUCCGAUGAGAGUAGUCCUACUAACUUCGAUGGUAGGGGU